AUGAACAAGCCGGCUGAAGACCCCAAGACCACUGAGCCGGAGAAGCAGACAAUAUCAGAAGCUUCCCAUCAAACCAUUGAACCUGCUGCUAAUUACCCGCCACCAAAGACUCUCAACGUCAAAGUGGAUCCAAUGGGUGUUGACCCCUCAAGUGCUAAACCGCCAAGUCCCACCAAGCCUGUUGAAGAAGAGGCCGAAGAAGUUGUGGUCAUUGGGACUGGCUAUGCGGAGCCAAUGAACCCCACUGUCUUAGCAAAGCACAGUGCCAAGGAGGAAUUUUUAGCUACUGAUAAAGGCAAAUGGAAAUUGGACUUGGAAAGCUAUGCCAGCUUCAACGCCAGUGAAAUUCAUGUAGGCUACUUAAGCCGUCUUCAUACCAGCCGCGAUAUGGAAGCCGGCCUGGUCAAUCUGAUGAAGGAACGCUUUGAGGCUGAAUUAAGCAUGAAGGAGUCUCAUGUGGUCGAUCUGCGGAAGAACAUCAAAUUGCAACAAUCAGAAACCUCAAAGGCCAAAUCCAAACUGAAAGCCGCCUUGGAAGUGUCUGAAAAAUUGAAGACGUAUUUCAACACGUAG
rnacentral:rRNA from 1 species